rnacentral:rRNA from 1 species
UUUACANGUCUNACCACUGGCCGGCGUCUGUUUACANGCCUCCUGCGUCGCGGCGCCGGACGACGCUGCUCUCUGGGUGGCGACGUGGCGGCGGGUGACGGUCUCGGUCUCUCUGUCGUGGGGGACUCGUGGCUCCUUCCGGCACUACCGACCCUACCGGGUGACACACGCCGGGGACUCUUCGGACCCUUGCGCGACUUGACACUGACGCCGACUGUCGGACUUACGCUACGUUGGCGGGGUACACACGGCCCAUCCACAGGCGACCGACUCCGUACGCUGGUCUGACGACGGGACUGACUUCACGCCACACUGGGACACCCUGACGACCACGGUCCACGACUCCUACGGGAGGCAGCAGUGGGGACAUACUUGGACCAACUGGGCGCAAGCCUGAUCCAGCCAGUACCGCGUGGGUGAAGAAGGCCUUCGGGUUGUAAAGCCCUUUUGUUGGGAAAGANAUCCAGCUGGCUANUACCUGGUUGGGAUGACGGUACCCAAAGAAUAAGCACCGGCUAACUUCGUGCCAGCAGCCGCGGUAAUACGAAGGGUGCAAGCGGUUACUCGGGAAUUCUGGGCGUUACAG